UCUGGAGCAACUCAUUCCAGUCGAACAGAAGCAGUGGAUGCAAGCGAAAUCAUUUUCUAAUCAAAAUAUCAGUCAGAAAAAGCUUUCGCUUUAUUUCCGCUGAGCUCUUUGCAAGUCUAUUAAACCUGGGAGUCAUUAGCGCACACUCACAAAGAGGAAUUAGGCCCCGUGUGUAAUCAGAUGGUGAACACACACAGGAUGUCACAAAAACUCAACCCCUUCCUAAAGAUCUCAUCUGGGCUACAGGCCUGGACACGGUUCAAAAGGGGACCUCCCACACACUGCAACAUCAGGCACGUACGAAACCGGUUCAAACUGACAGUCGCCAGAACGAGGCCUCGAUUUUGUUCCCAUUGACAUGCAUUAUACGACUGACAGACUGCAACGGUUGGAGUUAAAAAUCAUCAUUUGUGUUCUACUGAAGAAACAAAGUCACCUACAUCUUGGAUGCCCUGGGGCCACAAUCUGACAGCACAGUCUUACCUGCACAGGACUUAAGACGGUGUCCCUCCUCCCUUGAACUGUUAUGUUUGGUUUGUGCAUUUCAACAUUUACUUGAAUAAGACUGGAAUCCUCCAAAGCCACCACCAGACUCCCUCUCAAGGCCAGAGACCAGUCGAGCUGAGUGGAAAAAUCACAUCAGAAAUAUUUCAAAUUAGAUCCAUUUAUCUCUUGACAUCAAAUACAACAUUUAUUAGAAAUUACCUCAUUAUUCCAGUUAUCCACAGGGAUCUCUCUGGUAACCUUGAACACAAAAAGAGCUUUGAAAAAAUGAAAAGAGAGAGAGCAAGAGAGGAAUUAUCACAUCAACCUAAUUCUUACCUGAAUGAAGUCUGAAUCACACUGGAUGUACUCUCUGUUAGGAGGCGCUAACACCGCUGGACACUUCAUCAUAAACUUUUGAGUCCUGCCUCCAAAACGACUUACUCUCUUCAGCAGGUUCAGCACAAUCACAUAACUGCCAUGCUGAAAAAUCAUGUUAUUCUGUGAUGCAGUGAUAAAAAAGGGACAGAUUUUUACCUGUAACACAAUAUGUUUUAGUGACAAACAGGGAUAUUUUCUGACCUCUAACUGUACAAAACAUCCACUGUACAUGACUCUGAAGAUGUAGUUCUUGUCUAGAUCUCUGUGCAGGGCAAAGCCACAUGAAGACAGCUGAUGGUUUAGAUUCUCCAUGGACACCAGACCCACUGGUUCACCGUAGUCAACCGGAUCCGGGCCGUAUCCAGGUGAGACCAAGGACCUGCACCUUGACACGACCACAACGCAGCCCUGACGGAUCAGCAGAGAUUGAGUCAACUAGAUCAUCCACUGUGAGGGCCUCAUCGACACGACAG